rnacentral:rRNA from 1 species
GCCGCGUGGGGGAUGACGGCCUUCGGGUUGUAAACCCCUUUCAGUACGGAAGAAGCGAGAGUGACGGUACCUGCAGAAGAAGCGCCGGCUAACUACGUGCCAGCAGCCGCGGUAAUACGUAGGGCGCAAGCGUUGUCCGGAAUUAUUGGGCGUAAAGAGCUUGUAGGUGGCUUGUCGCGUCUGCCGUGAAAACCCGAGGCUCAACCUCGGGCGUGCGGUGGGUACGGGCAGGCUAGAGUGUGGUAGGGGAGACUGGAACUCCUGGUGUAGCGGUGAAAUGCGCAGAUAUCAGGAAGAACACCGAUGGCGAAGGCAGGUCUCUGGGCCAUUACUGACACUGAGAAGCGAAAGCAUGGGUAGCGAACAGGAUUAGAUACCCUGGUAGUCCAUGCCGUAAACGUUGGGCACUAGGUGUGGGGGACAUUCCACGUUUUCCGCGCCGUAGCUAACGCAUUAAGUGCCCCGCCUGGGGAGUACGGCCGCAAGGCUAAAACUCAAAGGAAUUGACGGGGGCCCGCACAAGCGGCGGAGCAUGCUGAUUAAUUCGAUGCAACGCGAAGAACCUUACCAAGGCUUGACAUGCACUGGACGGCUGCAGAGAUGUGGCUUUCUUUGGACUGGUGCACAGGUGGUGCAUGGUUGUCGUCAGCUCGUGUCGUGAGAUGUUGGGUUAAGUCCCGCAACGAGCGCAACCCUCGUUCUAUGUUGCCAGCACGUGAUGGUGGGGACUCAUAGGAGACUGCCGGGGUCAACUCGGAGGAAGGUGGGGACGACGUCAAAUCAUCAUGCCCCUUAUGUCUUGGGCUUCAAGCAUGCUACAAUGG